rfam:Triticum urartu cultivar G1812 contig19374, whole genome shotgun sequence.
GCUCGCUGCUUGGUCUUUGAUAAAAUUGGAACGAUAUAGAGAAGAUUAGCAUGGCUCUUGCGCAAGGAUGACAUGCACAAAUUGAGUAAUGGUUCAAUUUUUU